GUGCUCGCUUUGGCAGCACAUAUACUAAAAUUGGAACGAUACAGAGAAGAUCAGCACGGCCCCUGAACAAGGAUGACACGCAAAUUCAUGAAGCGUUCCAUAUUUUU
ensembl:snRNA U6 U6 spliceosomal RNA